rnacentral:rRNA from 1 species
AGAGUUUGAUCAUGGCUACAGGAUGAACGCUAGCGGCAGGCCUAAUACAUGCAAGUCGAACGCUCAGUAGCAAUACUGGGAGUGGCGCACGGGUGCGUAACGCGUACACAAUCUACCUCUAAGCGGGGGACACCUCCUGGAAACGGGGAUUAAUACCGCAUAAUAUGCCGAAGUCGCAUGACUUUGGUAUUAAAGCAGCAAUGCACUUAGAGAUGAGUGUGCGUCCCAUUAGGUAGUUGGUGAGGUAACGGCUCACCAAGCCUAUGAUGGGUAGCCGGUCUGAGAGGAUGGUCGGCCACACGGGCACUGAGACACGGGCCCGACUCCUACGGGAGGCAGCAGUAAGGAAUAUUGGUCAAUGGUGGAAACACUGAACCAGCCAUGCCGCGUGGAGGAAUAAGGUCCUACGGAUUGUAAACUCCUUUUGACGAGGAAGAAAAUGUUAGAUUUAUCUAAUUUUGACGGUACUCGUAGAAUAAGCACCGGCUAACUCCGUG